rnacentral:antisense_RNA from 1 species
GCUUUUUUUAGACUCUUAAUAAUAAUUUGAUGAAUUGUUCUAGAAGUUUUUUGUGGAAUUUCUGGAUCAUGUGAAACAAUAUGUACUGGCCAGUUCGUUGCAUUAUUUACAGUAUUGGAAAUGAUUUCAUCUUGAAGUUUUUGCAAAAAAUCUAUUUUUUCAGGGUUUACUCGGGUUUUUUUCAAAUCUGCCUUAAGUAAAAUUGGUAUAAAGAGUAAGCUAAUCGAAUCUUCAUUUUUUCUUGGAAGAAAGUAAAGUGGAAAAGAAUGAUUUACGGAAUCAUCUUCCAUUUCGUUAAUUAGAAUUGGGGCAGGAAAAAGACCACCAGAGUGAAGCUCAAAAAUAUAUGGCAAAAAUAGAUUGUGGCCGGACAAAAUGAUAGAUUUUCCUUGUUUUAUUGCCUUUUCAAUAUCAACUUGAAUACCUUUA